GAUGAACGCUGGCGGCGUGCCUAAUACAUGCAAGUCGAGCGAACAGACGAGGAGCUUGCUCCUCUGACGUUAGCGGCGGACGGGUGAGUAACACGUGGAUAACCUACCUAUAAGACUGGGAUAACUUCGGGAAACCGGAGCUAAUACCGGAUAAUAUAUUGAACCGCAUGGUUCAAUAGUGAAAGACGGUUUUGCUGUCACUUAUAGAUGGAUCCGCGCCGCAUUAGCUAGUUGGUAAGGUAACGGCUUCCCAAGGCAACGAUGCGUAGCCGACCUGAGAGGGUGAUCGGCCACCCUGGAACUAGGACCCGGUCCAGCCUCCUACGGGAGGCAGCAGUAGGGAUUCUUCCGCAUUGGGCGAAAGCCUGACGGACCAACGCCGCGUGAGUGAGGAAGGUCUUCGGUUCGUAAAACUCUGUUAUUGGGGAAGAACAAAUGUGUAAGUAACCAUGCACGUCUUGACGGUACCGAAGCAGAAGGCCCCGGCUACCUACGU
rnacentral:rRNA from 1 species